CUUUACGAAUUUUUAGAGCAUGGAAAGCCUCGUGGGUUACAAUAAUGUUGUCCUAAAUGAGCCUGCCUGCCACAAAAGGCCGACUGAUUUGGUGAGACCACUUCACUUAGAACCCCCUUUAGCCGAUUGGCAAGAAUCUUGGUGAUCACCUUUAUAAUGAAAUUCCAAAGGCUAAUUCGACUAAACUGUGAGAGUGUUUCCGGUGCUGGAACCUUGGGGAUGAGAACCAAAUUCGUAUGAUUCAUCUCCUUCAACAAAAAACCCCCCCGAAAGAAACUUUUCACCGCCGCGCAUAGAAAUGGUCCUACAAUAUCCCAAUGCCGAUGAUAGAAGUACC
rnacentral:misc_RNA from 1 species